CGGACGGGGUGGGUAAUGUCUGGGAAACUGCCUGAUGAGGGGGGAUAACUACUGAAACGGUAGCUAAUACCGCAUAACGUCGCAAGGCCAAAGAGGGGGACCUUAGGGCCUCUUGCCAUCGGAUGUGCCCAGAUGGGAUUAGCUUGUUGGUGGGGUAACGGCUCACCAAGGCGACGAUCCCUAGCUGGUCUGAGAGGAUGACCAGCCACACUGGAACUGAGACACGGUCCAG
rnacentral:rRNA from 1 species